ACAGAGUAUAUGUGUAAUCACAGUGGCUGAAUGUCCUUUUUGAGAUCCUGCAGCUGUUGACCCUGAGUGGGAGAAUGCCUUAUCCAGGUGUAGUCUUGUGCACACCUUUCCAGACCCAUAGCAGUGGUUUGGUUGCAGAGCUGUGAUUAUAUGGACAUUCUCCACACUUGGUAUACAGCAGUUCAGACAUGCAGCCCCAUUGGAAUGUGCUGAUAGAGAUAUACUUUUAAUUAUUCGGCUUCAUUAUAUUAUGAUUGGAUUUGA